UCCUAACAUCUUCCAUCAUGUGUGCUAAAGGCAUGUCCUCAGGCGGCAGUUCUGGAAAGCGGAUGAAAUCAGUGAGGAGGGGACAUUGGAAGGUUUGGGGGCUUCCAGGGUGUGGUCCUUGAAGUGGGCAGUGAGAUGCAGCGCAUCCCUCUUUCUUCUUUUCACUUCCAAGUUGUCCAAGACUUCCUCCAUAAAGGCUACAACCUGUGGAAUGAUGAGAGAACAUAAGGCAAGCCGAAAUUCAAAGACAGUGGGUCUAAGACCCGGUCAUUAACUAUUCCUCCUGAGGUCGGGGUCAUCUAAUCAAGGAAAGUCUGGAAACGCUGGAGGAAUACAGUGGAAUCAAGGGAAACCUGAGAACUAACUAAAUGUGAUGCUAGACACUAGGCAGGGUUUUGAGACAAAGAAAAGACAAGUAGGCAAAAACAAUGGGAGUAUGAAUAAAGAGUGGACCUCGGGCAAUGACAUCACAA